rnacentral:rRNA from 1 species
UACGUAGGGUGCGAGCGUUAAUCGGAAUUACUGGGCGUAAAGCGUGCGUAGGCGGUUUUGUAAGCCAGAUGUGAAAUCCCCGGGCUCAACCUGGGAAUGGCAUUUGGGACUGCAAGGCUGGAGUUUGGCAGAGGAGACUGGAAUUCCUGGUGUAGCAGUGAAAUGCGUAGAUAUCAGGAGGAAUACCGAUGGCGAAGGCAGGUCUCUGGGCUAUAACUGACGCUCAUGCACGAAAGCGUGGGGAGCAAACAGG